UACGUAGGGUGCGAGCGUUAAUCGGAAUUACUGGGCGUAAAGCGUGCGCAGGCGGUUGUGCAAGACAGGUGUGAAAUCCCCGGGCUCAACCUGGGAACUGCAUUUGUGACUGUAUAGCUAGAGUACGGCAGAGGGGGAUGGAAUUCCGCGUGUAGCAGUGAAAUGCGUAGAUAUGCGGAGGAACACCGAUGGCGAAGGCAAUCCCCUGGGCCUGUACUGACACUCAUGCACGAAAGCGUGGGGAGCAAACAGGAUUAGAUACCCCCGUAGUCC
rnacentral:rRNA from 1 species